rnacentral:rRNA from 1 species
GACGAACCGUGCAAACGUUAUUCGGAAUCACUGGGCCUAAAGGGCGCGUAGGCGGCUCCAAAAGUCAGGGGUGAAAUCCGGCAGCUUAACUGUCGCAGUGCCUUUGAUACUGUGGAGCUAGAGGGAGGUAGGGGUCUGUGGAACUUCCGGUGGAGCGGUGAAAUGCGUUGAUAUCGGAAGGAACGCCGGUGGAGAAAGCGACGGACUGGAUCUCUUCUGACGCUGAGGCGCGAAAGCCAGGGGAGCAAACGGG